rnacentral:rRNA from 1 species
AUCCAGGCCCUACGGGGCGCAGCAGUCGCGAAAACUCCACAAUGUGGGAAACCACGAUGGGGGAACUCCCAGUGCGCGCACUUUGUGCGCGCUGUUCUUCUGCCUAAAAAGCAGGAGAAGGAAGGGCCGGGUAAGACGGGUGCCAGCCGCCGCGGUAAUACCCGCGGCCCGAGUGGUGCUCAUUAUUAUUGAGUCUAAAACGUCCGUCGCCGGUCGGGUAGAUUCCUGGGUAAAUCGAGCUGCUCAACGGUUCGAAUUCCGGGGAGACCGCCCGACUAGGGACCGGGAGAGGCGCGAGGUACUCCUGGGGUAGGGGUAAAAUCCUGUAAUCCUGGGAGGACCACCAGUGGCGAAAGCGUCGCGCUAGAACGGAUCCGACGGUCAGGGACGAAGGCCAGGGGCGCAAACGGGAUUAGAUACCCCGGUAGUCCUGGCUGUAAACGCUGCAGGCUUGGUGUUGGGGGUCCUACGGGGGCUCCCGGUGCCGGAGCGAAGGUGUUAAGCCUGCUACUUGGGGAGUACGGUCGCAAGACUGAAACUUAAAGGAAUUGGCGGGGGAGCACCGCAACGGGAGGAGCGUCCGGUUCAAUUGGAUUCAACGCCGGAAAACUCACCGGGGGCGACCCUUACAUGAAGGCCAGGCUGAUGACCUUGCCUGAUUUUGGGAGAGGUGGUGCAUGGCCGUCGUCAGUUCGUACCGUGAGGCGUUCUGUCAAGUCAGAUAACGAACGAGACCCUCGCCCUUAGUUGCCCGUCCGCCCUCCGGGGUGGGCGCACACUAGGGGGACCGCUGGCGCUAAGCCAGAGGAAGGGGAGGUCGACGGUAGGUCCGUAUGCCCCGAAUCCCCCGGGCUACACGGGCGCUACAAAGGUUGGGACAAUGGGCUCCGACCCCGAGAGGGGAAGGCAAUCCCGAAACCCAAUCGUAGUUCGGACUGAGGGCUGUAACUCGCCCUCACGAAGAUGGAUUCCGUAGUAAUCGCGUGUCAACAUCACGCGGUGAAUAGGCCCCUGCUCCUUGCACACACCGCCCGUCAAGCCACCCGAGUUGGGCCUGAGUGAUGGUGCCGUUCUUGCGGCGCUAGAACUUAGGUCCAGCAAGGAGGGCUAAGUCGUAACAAGGUAUCUGUAGGGGAACCUGCAGAUGGAUCACCUCCUAAG